rnacentral:rRNA from 1 species
GGCGGACGGGUGAGUAACGCGUAAGAACUUGCCCUUUAGACUGGGAUAACAGAGGGAAACUUCUGAUAAUACUGGAUAAGUUAGUAUAUCGCAUGAUAUGCAAAAUGAAAGCUACGGCACUAAAGGAGAGCUUUGCGUCCUAUUAGCUAGUUGGUAAGGUAAGAGCUUACCAAGGCGAUGAUAGGUAGCCGGCCUGAGAGGGUGGACGGCCACAAGGGGACUGAGAUACGGCCCUUACUCCUACGGGAGGCAGCAGAC